rfam:Rhizobium tibeticum isolate CCBAT85039 genome assembly, contig: CCBAT85039_contig29
UGGUGUUCUCAGGGCGGGGUGCAACUCCCCACCGGCGGUAUCGAGGCAACUCGGAGCCCGCGAGCGCCUUCGUGGAUAACGGAGGGUCAGCAGAUCCGGUGAGAUGCCGGAGCCGACGGUUACAGUCCGGAUGGAAGAGAGCAAUG